CCACCCCACCCACUAAAUAUGUAAAAAAAAAAAAAAAAUCUCCCUUCAAUCCCAAACACCUUUUGUAUCAUGUAUUAGCUGCUACAGAU